rnacentral:rRNA from 1 species
UACGAAGGGGGCUAGUGUUGUUCGGAUUUACUGGGCGUAAAGGGCGCGUAGGCGGAUUUUUAAGUCGGGGGUGAAAUCCCGGAGCUCAACUCCGGAACUGCCUUCGAUACUGAAAGUCUGGAGCACGGUAGAGGUGAGUGGUAUUCCGAGUGUAGAGGUGAAAUUCGUAGAUAUUCGGUGGAACACCAGUGGCGAAGGGGGCUCACUGGACCGUUGCUGACGCUGAGACGCGACAGCGUUGGGAGCAAACAGG